GAUGAACGCUGACAGAAUGCUUAACACAUGCAAGUCUACUUGAACUUCGGUUUGGGUGGCGGACGGAUGAGUAACGCGUAAAGAACUUGCCUCACAGUUAGGGACAACAUUUGGAAACGAAUGCUACUACCUGAUAUUAUUAUUUUAGGGCAUCCUAUACUUCUGAAAGCUAUAUGCGCUGUGAGAGAGCUGUUCGUCCCAUUAGCUAGUUGGAGGGGUAACGGCUCACCAAGGCGAUGAUGGGUAGCCGGCCUGAGAGAGUGAACGGCCGCAAGGGGACUGAGACACGGCCCUUACUACUACGGGAGGGAGGAGUGGGGAAUAUUGGACAAUGAACCAAAAGUCUGAUCCAGCAGUUCUGUGUGCACGAUGACGUUUUUCGGAAUGUAAAGUGCUUUCAGUUGGGAAGAAAAAAAUGACGGUACCAACAGAAGAAGUGACGGCUAAAUACGUG
rnacentral:rRNA from 1 species